UUCCACUGUCUAAUUAAAACAGAGCAUCGUGUAGCCGGCCGAGCCACACAGACGCGAUGUGAUUUCUGCCCGGUGCUUUGAAUGUCAAAGUCAAGAAAUUCAACCAAGCGCGGGUAAA
rnacentral:ncRNA from 1 species